rnacentral:lncRNA from 1 species
AAAAAAGGCAUUAUAUGCAUUUUGAUUUAUUUAAAUAGUGUGUGUUUCUUGGUGUGCUUCUAUGAUUCAAUCCAAACCGUCGAUUCGAAUUAAUCAGUGGCCAUUAUUAGCAAUCCACACUUAUCCUAGUUUAUCCAAUCAAAAUUUAGGAUUUAAUAGAAAGUAAUUAAUAAAUAAAUAAAAAUAAUAAUUAUUGAGUGGUGGACAGCUCAUACACGGUAAUCUACACU